UACGUAGGGUGCGAGCGUUGUCCGGAAUUACUGGGCGUAAAGAGCUCGUAGGUGGUUUGUCGCGUUGUUCGUGAAAACUCACAGCUCAACUGUGGGCGUGCGGGCGAUACGGGCAGACUGGAGUACUGCAGGGGGAAGACGUGGAAUUCCUGGUGUAGCGGUGGAAUGCGCAGAUAUCAGGAGGAACACCAGUGGCGAAGGCGGCUCGUGGGCUA
rnacentral:rRNA from 1 species